rnacentral:misc_RNA from 1 species
UACGGAGGGUCCGAGCGUUAUCCGGAAUCAUUGGGUUUAAAGGGUCCGUAGGCGGGCCUGUAAGUCAGGGGUGAAAGUUUGUGGCUCAACCAUAAAAUUGCCUUUGAUACUGCAGGUCUUGAGUCAUGGUGGGGUCGCCGGAACAUGUGGUGUAGCGGUGAAAUGCAUAGAUAUCACAUAGAACACCGAUCGCGAAGGCAGGUGACCAACCAUGUACUGACGCUGAUGGACGAAAGCGUGGGUAGCGAACGGG